AUUGAACGCUGGCGGCAUGCCUAACACAUGCAAGUCGAGCGGAGCGGCGAACGGGUGGGUAAUGCCGAGGAAUUUGCCAGGUGGUGGGGGAUAACGUCCGGAAACGGGCGCUUAUACCGCAUACUAUCUGAUGAGCCUAGGUCGGAUGAGCGAGUUGGGGGGGUAAAGGCUGACAAAGGAGACGGUCCACAGCUGGUCUGAGAGGAUGAUCAGUCACACUGGAACUGAGACACGGUCCAGACUCCUACGGGAGGCAGCAGUGGGGAAUAUUGGACAAUGGGCGAAAGCCUGAUCCAGCCAUGCCGCGUGUGUGAAGAAGGUCUUCGGAUUGUAAAGCACUUUAAGUGGGGAGGCGUUACUAACAGAAUAAGCACCGGCUAACUUCGUGCCAGCAGCCGCGGUAAUAC
rnacentral:rRNA from 1 species